CGGGGUGUGGCGCAGCUUGGUAGCGCGCUUCGUUCGGGACGAAGAGGACGCAGGUUCAAAUCCUGUCACCCCGACCA
rnacentral:tRNA from 1 species